UGUGUUACAAAGGCAAUUUAAAUUAACAAAAUUCAGGCCAUUCAAGAGUUUCAACAGAUUUAAUUUACAUGUUAACCAGGAUUUUUCAAUCUCCAUCUGUAUUAGUUAUCUGAUUCCUAUUAUUCAGUUGAAUCUGUGGUUGACUGAUCUAUUCCUUGAGAGUUAUUCUGUUAACUUUUAGCAAAUUAAUUUAAUUACUUUAACUUGAUAUGAUUUAUUUUGUUUGCAAUGAAUAAGACGAGUUGAUUAAUGUUGCAAUUAAAUCAGUGGAAAAAAAAUCUGGUUCAGAUUUGCGUUUGGAUUAGGCGCUUUUUUAUACUUCAACAUUCGUGGUAAGCGCCAAAGCUUAGCACAUGAUUUGGAUGAUUCAUUUUUGCUUCACGCUGGACAACAUUAAAUGCCAAGCCCAUGCGAUCAGAAUUUUGUGUUUGGGCGUUUUGAGGAAACGUGUAUUUCAAUGCUGCCUUUUACACUUUGCCUUUUGGAUUUUGGAUUUUAUUUUCAUCUACUUUAUAAGCUUUAGGCCAAACUUGGUUACGCAUCAUCAUUAUCAUCACUAUCAUUAACAUGAUACUUUGGCUAUUUUUUGCCAUUAUGUGGUUAUCCAAUUCUGAUUCUUUUUAAUCUGAACUUGAUCAUCUGUCGAUUUCCAGCCUUUGGUUUGUCUUACGAUUGAAAACAACUUUUGCUUUAGGAUCAGAUACACUUUUCCAGCUAUUUCGACUAAUAUACUUUUCUAUUUGUGCCCCGGAUAUUGAUAAUUUAUCAUUGAAAUCGAUAUUUCUCGUUAAAUCUCAUCGACACAUCAGUCAACAUGUCGGAAUCAUUUUGUCGGUUCAAGAGCUGCUCUUUGACGAAUCUCAGUUAAUGGAAAAAUAAUCAAAUGUAACUGUAUUUUUGAUCGCUUUUUACAUGAUACAAUAUUGGCCAAUAAUGAUCCAAUUGUAACAGUAACUUGUAUCAACAGUUACCAACAACAGUUGUAUCAACAAGCUUGAAAUUGCAUUCUCCACGUUAGUAGGUAAAAAUUUCAAGUUUAAUUGAAACAAAUUUCCGGAUGAUACUGGGGAUGAUCAGCAAUCCUAUUCUAGAAGUAAAAGGAGAGAAGAAAAAAAACAAAAAAUGCAAAACCGAAACAAAUCAAAUGAAAGACAAACAGCGAGAAAACAAUCUGAUUUACCAUUCAACUUCCGGAUAACUUGGCUAAGUACCUCAUCAGCAGUAGCAGAAACUGCAGCAGCAGCAAAAAAAUCAGAAUAUGAUGCAAAAAAGUGAGAGAAAGAAAAGAUUCGAUGAAGAUGGUAAUGUAGACAGACUGUAAAAUCCUUGAAAUUCCUACAAGUAACAUUGUGUAUGGGAAUGUAAGGUGCAAAAAAAUAGCACCAAAAAAUCAGUCAACAAGCAACCAUCAACCCAUCAUCAUCAAGAAAAAAAAGACUACAAAAUUUGAAGAAUAUAUGAUUAUGAACAAACAGAAGAGGAAUAAAGUUGAUGAAAAAGGUGUAACCACGCAUUUGAAUCAAUUGUCUUUUUUGCUUUUCAUGCAAAUUGGAUGCAAAGUGAAGGAAACAAAGAAGCUAAAUCCUUCCUGAAUAACACUUGAAUUGGUGAUUUUUGAUUGAAAGGUAACUUCACUCGAUUUUACAUGAAUAAACAAAAAGUACAUAACAUGAAAUGAUGAAAAUAAUCACAAUAAAAUAAGCACAUAAUAAGGUGAGACAUAAAACUGGCGAUUAAGAGAGGCUUGUCUUAAGCUUAAAACUAGCGGGAAAAUAUUGACAUGUGAUAUACCACGUUGCUGCAUUGAGACAGUUUCUUAUUUUUACCGGUUAAUCCAAUCUUUACUCUGGUUAUUAUAAUUGGCUUUUCUUAAUUUAUUGUGUUUAUUAUUUUAUUAUUAACAGUAUUUAGUGGAUAAAUAAUUUACUUGUUAAACUUGACUGCCCAAGGGUUAACCCAAUCAAUUACCAAAGAAAACCAGAAGAAACCAAGGAAAUUCUGAUUAAUAAGUUUGCGGCUUCAUUGAGUCAACUGAAAAUGCGUACUGAUUUUGCAGUUGCAAAAUGGUGACAAAUCUGCUAGAGCAAAUCAAUUAUCCAAUCAAACCAAAUUAAAGAUGAUUGUAUUGCUUGGUACACUUGAAAUCAAAAGACUAUUGAGGAUCACAAAGCUGGUAACAUACGUAAUCGCCAUGGAAUUGGUGAUGAGAUAAAUUACUAAAAUUGAGCCGAGUCCGGUUUAAAUCAUCACCAUAAUGAUCUAAUCAUUUUCGGACAAAACGUUAAAAAUAUCAAAUCUUGUUCAAUUAAUUAAGAUCACGAAAAAUUCCAAAUUAAUGUGGCUUACUUGGAAAACAUUAUGUCUACAUUGUUUGUUGCACUAUCUUAAUUUUAUUUUGUUUUGUGU